UACAGAGGGGGCAAGCGUUGUCCGGAUUUACUGGGCGUAAAGGGCGCGUAGGCGGCCACCGCAAGUCGACUGUGAAAUCUCCGGGCUUAACCCGGAAAGGUCAGCCGAUACUGCGGGGCUAGAGUGCAGAAGGGGCAACUGGAAUUCUCGGUGUAGCGGUGAAAUGCGUAGAUAUCGAGAGGAACACCUGCGGCGAAGGCGGGUUGCUGGGCUGACACUGACGCUGAGGCGCGAGAGCGUGGGGAGCAAACAGG
rnacentral:rRNA from 1 species